CCUCCGAUCUACCAGCACUGCUCGACUGGUUCCACCAUCUCUCAGGAUAUUUAAGUGGGCUUGGUCUGAUGACACUCAACUGACUUUCACCAAGUGGAACUUUGGAGAACCAAAUCAUCUGUUGGGAGAGUGCUGUGUGAAUAUAAACUCUGGCAUAAAUAAGGACUGGAGUGACAUGAACUGCAAAAUGAAAUAUCCCUUUGUUUGUGCCAAAGAGCUUGACUGAAAUGUUCUCAUCCUCAUUUCACCAAGAAGUUAAAACUAUUAUUUUAUUUAUUUUUUAUUCUCACUAAAAAAUUACAAAAAUCACUUACCGUUAAUGGAUCAAUAAAAAAAAUCUUCAGGCCUAAGUGUUUAUGAAAUUGUUU